rnacentral:lncRNA from 1 species
GAAGAGAAAUCCUGUUUGAAGAGCAACAAUAUAGGAAUUGUGGUUGUCUUGAAAAAUGAUAGAUAAACAAUUUCAUGUAGCCAUAGUUGUGGAGCCUUUCUUCAUGAUAGUGGUGAAGAGAUUAAAGUAGAUGGUAAAGUAGAUCCACUAAAGUACAGUAGAAUCAAGAGUGAUCCAUUGUUGUGAUUAUCAUUGGUUGGAGUCGGAUGUUCCUUCCUAGGUUGAGAGAUGAUAUGGUGAAGAACUCUGGUAACCCGAGCAUGAGUUUCAAAAAGUUCAACCCACAUAGCAUAAUGGCCCUUCUCAUGCCCAACAUAAAAGAAAUGUUAUUUUUUAUAAUAGUGACUGUGAGUGUUAAGUGAAAUUCAUAUUUACCAAAGGAAGAGGCAAGAUCGGAUUUGGUUGAAGACAUGGUGUCAACGGUGAGAAACAGGUUUAUGAAAGAAAGAAGAGGAGAUAAUUGGGUUGGCAAGUGGUAGAGCAUGGUUGUUGGGACCAAGGGAUGACAUGCAAGGAGGAAGCGAAGGGUAGCUCACAACUAUUAAAAAAAGGAGGGGCAAUGCGAGUUAGAGAAGGAAGGAAGGAAGAGUACAGAAAUAGGUUGUUGGUGAAUGGGAGGCAUGACAACAAUUGGGAGUGGCGAAAAUGCAAGAGAGAGCCUUGGAGAGUGAGACGAUGCAGAAAAGAAAAUGAGUGCACGACGUCAAAUGCAAAGAGGUGAGGUAUGAAUCAGAGAGAGACUCAUGAUACCAUGUAAGAAAGAAAGAGGAUUUGAAUAUGUGUCUCAUUAUGUCUUAAAAAUAUGUAUACAUACUUAAGAUCAUGACCUAUGUGUUUUCUUGGGCUAUCCCCAUAAUUACAGAUGUUAUAAAUGUUUUGGUAUGUCCCAUAAAAUAGUAAUAAUAUCGUGAUGUGUCAUUUUUGAUGAAACAUAAUUUCCUUUUACCCAUAUGCCUUCCUCCCUUGUCUCUACUUAUGGUAGUUUCACUAAUGACAUACAUCCAUCCCUUAUUUAUCCACGGGCCAACACUCACCUGGAGCCUUUGCCUAACCCAUAACUUGUAAGAUUACACUCCCUUUCAUCUAGUACAACAACCUCCACAACCAUCCUAUUUACCUUUCCUACUUCAUACCGGCCUAACCUGCUGUCAACCCCUACCCCUUCAUAACAACUUGACUUUCUUACUAGGAUUAUGUCUAGUCGUAACAUGACCAAUGUCUACAAACUCAGAAAGCUCUUUAACCUUUUUGUUUCCAUUAUUGAUCAAAUGAUAUCAAC